rnacentral:rRNA from 2 species
UGUGACCUCAAAUCAGGUAGGACUACCCGCUGAACUUAAGCAUAUCAAUAAGCGGAGGAAAAGAAACUAACAAGGAUUCCCCUAGUAACUGCGAGUGAAGCGGGAAAAGCUCAAAUUUAAAAUCUGGCGGUCUUWUGGCUGUCCGAGUUGUAAUCUAGAGAAGUGUUAUCCGCGCUGGACCGUGUACAAGUCUCCUGGAAUGGAGCAUCAUAGAGGGUGAGAAUCCCGUCUUUGACAUGGACUGCCAGGGCUUUGUGAUGCGCUCUCAAAGAGUCGAGUUGUUUGGGAAUGCAGCUCAAAAUGGGUGGUAAAUUCCAUCUAAAGCUAAAUAUUGGCGAGAGACCGAUAGCGAACAAGUACCGUGAGGGAAAGAUGAAAAGAACUUUGGAAAGAGAGUUAAACAGUACGUGAAAUUGCUGAAAGGGAAACGCUUGAAGUCAGUCGCGUCAUCCAGGGAUCAACCUUGCUUUUGCUUGGUGCACUUCCUGGUUUGAUGGGUCAGCAUCAAUUUUGACUAUUGGAAAAAGGCUGAGGGAAUGUGGCAUCUUCGGAUGUGUUAUAGCCCUUGGUCGCAUACAAUGGUUGGGAUUGAGGAACUCAGCA